rnacentral:rRNA from 1 species
ACAUGCAAGUCGAGCGNACNGAAGGGAGCUUGCUCCCGGAUGUUAGCGGCGGACGGGUGAGUAACACGUGGGUAACCUGCCUGUAAGACUGGGAUAACUCCGGGAAACCGGAGCUAAUACCGGAUAGUUCCUUGAACCGCAUGGUUCAAGGAUGAAAGACGGUUUCGGCUGUCACUUACAGAUGGACCCGCGGCGCAUUAGCUAGUUGGUGGGGUAAUGGCUCACCAAGGCGACGAUGCGUAGCCGACCUGAGAGGGUGAUCGGCCACACUGGGACUGAGACACGGCCCAGACUCCUACGGGAGGCAGCAGUAGGGAAUCUUCCGCAAUGGACGAAAGUCUGACGGAGCAACGCCGCGUGAGUGAUGAAGGUUUUCGGAUCGUAAAGCUCUGUUGUUAGGGAAGAACAAGUGCGAGAGUAACUGCUCGCACCUUGACGGUACCUAACCAGAAAGCCACGGCUAACUACGUGCCAGCAGCCGCGGUAAUACGUAGGUGGCAAGCGUUGUCCGGAAUUAUUGGGCGUAAAGGGCUCGCAGGCGGUUUCUUAAGUCUGAUGUGAAAGCCCCCGGCUCAACCGGGGAGGGUCAUUGGAAACUGGGAAACUUGAGUGCAGAAGAGGAGAGUGGAAUUCCACGUGUAGCGGUGAAAUGCGUAGAGAUGUGGAGGAACACCAGUGGCGAA